ACUUCUGAUUGGCAGGAACCACAAAGAACUGGAUAUGUUUGGUCUCCAAACUGUUGUCUGAGAGCUUGUGCUUCUUCCCCAGGAUGAGUCAAUGGAGAGGGUGCUCCUGGAUCUGCGAGCCCAAGUAUCCAAACAGGAGAAGCUCCUUGAGAGCACAGCUGAGCAUCUGAAGACUGCCCACCAACAGAAGGAGAACAUGGAGCAGUUCAUUGUCAGCCAGUUGACCAGGACACAUGAUGUUUUGAGGAAGGCAAGGACUAACUUGGAGUUAAGGAACCUGUUGCACCUUACACGGUCACAGAGCCUGCUUCAAAUACAUUACCAUCUGACAUCAGAUCAGUAAGUGACCCUGACCUCCUUUGACCUUCCAGGAGAUAUAUGGUCCA
rnacentral:lncRNA from 1 species